rnacentral:rRNA from 1 species
GAGUUUGAUCGUGGCUCAGGAUGAACGCUGACGGCGUGCCUAACACAUGCAAGUCGAGCGAAGCACUCUGCUUAGAUUCUUCGGAUGAAGAGCUUAGUGACUGAGCGGCGGACGGGUGAGUAACGCGUGGGUAACCUGCCUCACACAGGGGGAUAACAGUUAGAAAUGACUGCUAAUACCGCAUAAGACCACAGCACCGCAUGGUGGAGUAGGUAAAAACUCCGGUGGUGUGAGAUGGACCCGCGUCUGAUUAGGUAGUUGGUGAGGUAACGGCUCACCAAG